CCAUGGCUCUAACCCAGGACUUUUGCCUUGCUAGCACACUUGACCACUCUCCCAAAGUGUCUAACCAGUCGGCACCACCGAAAUGCUAGCUAUUUGAUGGUGCAAGUGGGGACACUUCAGGCUGAGGAAAUUUGACACGUAAAAAUUGCGUAUUUUUCUGGUUGUGAACUAGUUGUUUAGUUGAACUGACGUAACCAGAUUACAGGUAAAGACAUAUUUUCUGGCUCAUAAUGUCCAGUGAACAACCUGACCCAUGAUGUCACAGAAGACGUCAGCCUGACGGGAUUAUAUCCAGUUUUGCCCGCUGUGAUGCGUUUUAUUUUAUUGGCCAAACCCAGUUGUUCACCAAUUCAUGCAUGAGCAAAUGUCACGGAACAUGUGACGUGGACCAAUGUGUGUCCACGCUGCUUCUCAUCCGUGACUGAUCAAUUUAUCCACCAAGCUGGAACCACCUGCAACUGGAUACGGACAUUUUUAAGAUAACUUUUCCCCGAAUCGAGAAUGAAGACAGAAUCGCCAAGAGCAGAGCCCAGGGCCAAUUAGAGAGCCUCACAGAGAGAUGGGAGACGGACAUUCAUCCCAUGCUUCUGCUACCACAUCCUCCUCUUCCGUCUCCUCCCCAACUGCCUGCCCCCUGUCCAUCCCUACACCUGUCAACAUAUUUCCCCCCCUUCUAUACCACUCUCCCUCCCAUCUCUAUCUGUGACACGCUGCAACCCAUCCUCCUGCCCCAUCUCUCCCAUCCUGGAUGACAGCCAUUUACAAAGAAACGGGAGCUGAAAUGCUGGGUUUGGAGAGGGACAGGAUGGAUUCGGGUUGAGAUGACACUUCUUUCUCCUGUUGACCCAUCAUCCAUCUAAGAAAAGCUACCCAAGAUACUAAGUACACAAACAAAUACACACAAAGACACACACACAAGCACUUGUCUGCCUACCGACUGACCUGACCGACUGACCAACCUACCCAUCUACCUACCUACUGACAUACCUACAGUGGCUUGGGAAAGUAUUCAUCCCCUUGGCAUUUUUCCUAUUUUGUUGCCUUACCACCUGGAAUUAACAUCUUCCACUUUGAAGAUGCAAAAUAUUUUCUAUUGUGAAACAAGCAAGAAAUAAGACAAAAAAACAGAAAACUUAGCGUGCAUAACUAUUCACCCCCACAAAGUCAAAACUUGGUAGAGCCACCUUUUGCAGCAAUUACAGCUGCAAUUCUCUUGGGGUAAGUCUCUAUAAGCUUGGCAUAUCUAGCCACUGGGAUUUUUGCCCAUUCUUCAAGGCAAAACUGCUCCAGCUCCUUCAAGUUGGAUGGGUUCCGCUGGUGUACAGCAAUCUUUAAGUCAUACCACAGAUUCUCAAUUGGAUUGAGGUCUGGGCUUUGACUAUGCCAUUCCAAUACAUUUAAAUGUUUCCCCUUAAACCACUUGAGUGUUGCUUUAGCAGUAUGCUUAGAGUCAUUGUCCUGCUGGAAGGUGAACCUCCGUCCCAGUCUCAAAUCUCUGGAAGACUGAAACAGGUUUCCCUCAAGAGUUUCCCUGUAUUUAGCGCCAGCCAUAUUUCUUCAAUUCUGACCAGUUUCCCAGUCCCUGCCGAUGAAAAACAUCCCCACAGCAUGAUACUGCCACCAGCAUGCUUUACUGUGGGGAUGGUGUUCUCAGGGUGAUGAGGGGUGUUGGGUUUGCGCCAGACAUAGCAUUUUCCUUGAUGGCCAAAAAGCUCAAUUUAGUCUCAUCUGACCAGAGUACCUUCUUCCAUAUGUUGGGGAGCCUCCCACAUGCCUUUUGGCAAACACCAAACGUGUUUGCUUAUUUUUUUCUUUAAGCUUUGGCUUUUUUCUUGCCACUCUUCCGUAAAGCCCAGCUCUGUGGAGUGUACGGCAUAAAGUGGUCCUAUGGACAGAUACUCCAAUUUCCGCUGUGGAGGUUUGCAGCUCCUUCAGGGUUAUCUUUGUUCUCUAUGUUGCCUCUCUGAUUAAUUCCCUCCUUGCCUGGUCCAUGAGUUUUGGUGGGCGGCCCUCUCUUGGCAGAUUUGUUGUGGUGACAUAUUUCUUCCAUUUUUUUAUAAUGGAUUUAAUGGUGCUCCGUGGGAUGUUCAAAGUUUAUGAAUUAUUUUUAUAACCCAACCCCAAUCUGUACUUCUCCGCAACUUUAUCCCUGACCUAUUUGGAGAGCUCCAAAUUACAUUACAUGCAAUCCAAAUAAAAAUCUAUUUAAAUUGCAGGUUGUAAUGCAACAAAAUAGGAAAAACACCAAGGGGGAUGAAUACUUUUGCAAGGCAAUGUACCUAAACAACCUACCUGCUGAUCUAUCUUUCUCCCUGCCUACCGACACACUUACCAACCUACCAACCUACUUACCUACUUACUUUAUUAUGGUUUAUGGCUUAUGAAAGCGUAAUACAUACAUUUUUGAAUUAA